AUGGAGACUGAGGCAGCGCAGGAGAGGAGGGACGUGUCACCACCAAGCUCGGAGCUAUCUAUAGGGAAGAUGAACCCACGAGCUCCUGGUUGGAAUAAGAGGUUAAGGAUUGGUGCUGCUGCACCAAGUCGACCGCCUUGCCCAAACCGUGUAAGUGCAUUUGAGAAGGCUGUUCGAAACUAUGCGGAGAAUCCAAGAGGCAAUGUGGUCACACCGACUAUCAACACGAUAUUUGACUCAGUUGGAGAGGCGUAUGACUUCUACAAUUUGUAUUCAUGGGAAAAGGGAUUUGGGAUCAGAUAUGGCAAGAGUCGGCUUAAUGUGGAGAGGAUUAAAUGCAUGCAAGAAAUAGUCUGUGGCUGCUCGGUGACCACCUUGUCUUUGCAGUCGGGGCAGGGGAUCAGCGGAAGCACUGCCUCCUGCUGCGAGGAAGAAGAAGAAGACGCCAUGGUCGCCGGUCCGCUCGGUCCAACAGGAAGACAAGAUGAUGAGGUUGGGGGACGGCUCAAAUGA
rnacentral:rRNA from 1 species